UACGUAGGGACCAAGCGUUGUUCGGAUUUACUGGGCGUAAAGGGCGCGUAGGCGGCUUGAUAAGCGUGCGGUGAAAGCCCGGGGCUCAACCCCGGGUCGGCCGUGCGAACUGUCGAGCUGGAGCACUGUAGAGGCAGGUGGAAUUCCGGGUGUAGCGGUGGAAUGCGUAGAGAUCCGGAAGAACACCGGUGGCGAAGGCGGCCUGCUGGGCAGUGGCUGACGCUGAGGCGCGACAGCGUGGGGAGCAAACAGG
rnacentral:rRNA from 1 species